UUUUCUUCUCUUUUUUUUCACGUCCUCUCUCUCUGAGAAAGAGAAGAACUCCAUUAGAGUUACAUGGAAGUUUUCUUCUCUUCUCCAUACUUCAACUCCACGAACACCACCAGUUACACUUACAAGUUACACCACCUCUCGAUCCAGAAGAAGAAGAAGAAAAAAUCAGUGAUUGUGUUUCUAUUGGUUUCACGGGGUAGGUUAUCACGCCAAGGAGAAGACGAAGGGAAAAGAUUCAAGGAACAAUCCAACUCAGAAAUUGUUAACCAAGGCGUUACUUGGUCCUAUCAACAAUAAUGCCACCACCAGUGCUGCUGCCAUGGAAUAGAAGAUCAAGACUUUGUAUUUGUCAUUGCCACUAGUGCUACUUGUUAUUUUUUUACCACCACUGUCCAGUCAUUGCUACCGCUACUUGAUACUUUGCUACUUGUUACUGUUCAAUUGUGUGUGUGAGUGACUGUUUCUGUCAGUCUUUGACUCUUUUGCUACUUGUUACUUUUACAGUUUUUCAAGACUCGGUAUUUGAAUUUGACACUUUUCUUUGCUAGUAAUCUAGUAUUAAUAUUAUUG